AGGGUUUGAUCAUGGCUCAGGAUGAACGCUGGCGGCGUGCUUAACACAUGCAAGUCGAACGAACCUUCGGGUUAGUGGCGGACGGGUGAGUAACGCGUGAGAAUCUGCCCUCAGGAGGGGGAUAACGGUUGGAAACGACCGCUAAUACCCCAUAUGCCUAUUGGUGAAAUGAAUUUCGCCUGAGGAUGAGCUCGCGUCUGAUUAGCUAGUUGGUGAGGUAAUGGCUCACCAAGGCUUCGAUCAGUAGCUGGUCUGAGAGGAUGAUCAGCCACACUGGGACUGAGACACGGCCCAGACUCCUACGGGAGGCAGCAGUGGGGAAUUUUCCGCAAUGGGCGAAAGCCUGACGGAGCAACGCCGCGUGAGGGACGAAGGCCUCUGGGCUGUAAACCUCUUUUCUCAAGGAAGAAGAUAUGACGGUACUUGAGGAAUAAGCCACGGCUAAUUCCGUGCCAGCAGCCGCGGUAAUACGGGAGUGGCAAGCGUUAUCCGGAAUUAUUGGGCGUAAAGCGUCCGCAGGCGGCUUUUCAAGUCUGCUGUUAAAGCGUGGAGCUUAACUCCAUCAUGGCAGUGGAAACUGAAAGGCUUGAGUAUGGUAGGGGCAGAGGGAAUUCCCGGUGUAGCGGUGAAAUGCGUAGAUAUCGGGAAGAACACCAGUGGCGAAGGCGCUCUGCUGGGCCAUUACUGACGCUCAUGGACGAAAGCCAGGGGAGCGAAAGGGAUUAGAUACCCCUGUAGUCCUGGCCGUAAACGAUGAACACUAGGUGUCGGGGGAAUCGACCCCUUCGGUGUCGUAGCUAACGCGUUAAGUGUUCCGCCUGGGGAGUACGCACGCAAGUGUGAAACUCAAAGGAAUUGACAGGGGCCCGCACAAGCGGUGGAGUAUGUGGUUUAAUUCGAUGCAACGCGAGAACUUACCAGGGUUUGACAUCCUGCGAACCUCUUAGAAAUUUGAGGGUGCCUUCGGGAAUGCAGUGACAGGUGGUGCAUGGCUGUCGUCAGCUCGUGUCGUGAGAUGUUGGGUUAAGUCCCGCAACGAGCGCAACCCACGUUUUUAGUUGCCAGCAUUUAGUUGGGCACUCUAGAAAGACCGCCGGUGAUAAACCGGAGGAAGGUGUGGAUGACGUCAAGUCAUCAUGCCCCUUACACCCUGGGCUACACACGUACUACAAUGCUACGGACAAAGGGCAGCAAACUCGCGAGAGCUAGCAAAUCCCAUAAACCGUGGCUCAGUUCAGAUCGUAGGCUGCAACUCGCCUACGUGAAGUAGGAAUCGCUAGUAAUCGCAGGUCAGCAUACUGCGGUGAAUACGUUCCCGGGCCUUGUACACACCGCCCGUCACACCAUGGAAGUUGGCCAUGCCCGAAGUCGUUACUCCAACCCUUGUGGAGGAGGACGCCGAAGGUGGGGCUAAUGACUGGGGUGAAGUCAUAACAAGGUAGCCGUA
rnacentral:rRNA from 1 species